rnacentral:lncRNA from 1 species
UGCUGUUUCCAAGCUAUGAAUUUCAUGAUUUAUUUGUCACUAUUCUCUAUUUUUCUGCUGUACACCGUGUUUGUGGGCUAUGGCAACCAAUCCUCUUGGGCUUUCUUUUGCUUUAAUUUGCAUAAACACAGGCAUCAUAUGAAUAUUCAGUGAGUGGCUUUGCAUUAAGUAAGUGCUCUUAAUCAGCUUUUCAGUUCUGUUUUAUUGGUUGCACGCACAGUCAGUUAUUUCAUCCAGAAAAUCUGAGGGCCCUACAAAGCUAACCAGAAACCCCAGAAAAUGCCAUUGCAAGUAAACAUGUCCAUUCACCAUUUAAAGUUCAUGCAGAUGUUCAGCUUCCAAAUGGAUGUUGUGAAAAGGGAAAAUAUAUGUUUCCUGGUGAUGCAGGAAUGCAUCUGGCUAAUGGACAAGAGCAUCGGUGAGAGAUGUCCAGUGCUAAAGCCUUUGGAUUGCAUCAUAGACAGUUUGCCAGACCAAGGCCUUAUCUGCAGUGAACGCUAAAAGAUUACCAAUGAAGAACUUCACAGAAGAAAUGUAGUGUAAGGAAGAAUUUGACUACAAGAUGGCUAACAGGAUGCAGUAGGAAACUGUUACAAGCAAAAGAGGUAGCAUGGAAGAAGCAUGAAGACUGGAGAGAGGUAUAUGCAGAUAAUAUUCAACGCCUACAAUAAGUCUUGAUGACUGUAUGUCAUAUUUUAAUAUCACUUUUAUUAUCCCUGAUUUAUUACAAUAAAAAGUGACUUUUUAAAUAAAUGAAAAAUAGG